UUGGAGGGCAAGUCUGGUGCCAGCAGCCGCGGUAAUUCCAGCUCCAAUAGCGUAUAUUAAAGUUGUUGCAGUUAAAAAGCUCGUAGUUGAACCUUGGGCCUGGCUGGCCGGUCCGCCUCACCGCGUGUACUGGUCCGGCCGGGCCUUUCCUUCUGGGGAACCUCAUGCCCUUCACUGGGCGUGUUGGGGAACCAGGACUUUUACUUUGAAAAAAUUAGAGUGUUCAAGGCAGGCCUUUGCUCGAAUACAUUAGCAUGGAAUAAUAGAAUAGGACGUGUGGUU
rnacentral:rRNA from 1 species